CACGUAGGGUGCGAGCGUUGUCCGGAAUUAUUGGGCGUAAAGAGCUCGUAGGCGGUGUGUCGCGUCGGCCGUGAAAACCUGCAGCUUAACUGUGGGCUUGCGGUCGAUACGGGCAGGCUAGAGUCUGGUAGGGGGAUCUGGAAUUCCUGGUGUAGCGGUGGAAUGCGCAGAUAUCAGGAGGAACACCGGUGGCGAAGGCGGGAUCCUGGGCCAGUACUGACGCUGAGGAGCGAAAGCGUGGGGAGCAAACAGGG
rnacentral:rRNA from 1 species